rnacentral:lncRNA from 1 species
AAAGAUUUGUAAACACAAACCAGAAUGUGGUCGGAUGCACGUGUUUAUAUUAAAGACACACGAUAACUACAAUAGCCAUUUCUAUAAAGGAAAAAGUUUAUAUAAGGUUGCAACUUUAAAAUGUAGAAUUACAGAUGCACCGCAAAAAUCUAUCGGAAAGGUUGUUUUAAUGUUGAAAAACCCUCUAUUUGAUCAUCUCAACAUUUAGAUGUAUGAAUAUAAAAAAAAAGUUUUUGAGUCUCAGAAAUAGUGCAUCUUGCAACACAUUAUCUAGGCCGUCCAUUUUAAAGAUUUUCAUAAGUUUAUAGAUCUCCUUGAUUUUAACUAUUUUUGGAGUUUAAAAUUUUCUAAUUAGAUAUGAAAAUAGAUUUUAAGAUAAUCCUAAGAAUUUUUACAAUAAAAUUACAUGUUAUGAUAAAAUUUGGAGGUGCACCUUAAUUUGAUUGUUUAAGGUUGCAACCUUAUAGAAACUGCACCCUUCUAUAAAUGCUCUAACUUUAAGGUAUGUAAUAUUCAUUCAUUAAUAUAAUGUAGAAGCAUAUUGGUGUUCAUUUGUAAGUAUAUAUCUAACACACAUUUAUCUUAUUGUGUUAACCACUAGAAUGAGACUGGAAUACGGCUAUCUAGAGUGGCGUGAUGAAAUUUUAGGUGAAGAUAAGAAGCCUAUGGUUAAAAGGUUCGCAUCUCAGAUGUCAGAUGCUACUGUUGUUGAA